rnacentral:lncRNA from 1 species
AUCAAGGUGGAGUACUAUGCCCGAAUAGGACAUCAAGAGGGGUGAUCGGCAUAUGACAAUUUCGGAGCUCUAUUUAAUAAUUUUAGAGGCCUACUCUAUGAGGUGUUGAAGCUCCAUGGUUACUUAGAAGAAAUAAAAAAAAAAUCUCUCCUUCUACUUGUGAAUGUAAGGGGUACCUUGAAUCAGAUGGCAUUCUUUCUAAGGUGAAAUAUAUCAUCAGCUUUUCCAAAUGUAUGUCUUCAAUGUGAAGAAAGCUUGGAAAAGCAUCACUAAUGAAAGAAUAUCAAAAAGAAUGCAAGAACAAAGAAAGCAAGGAUGAAUCUUUAAGAGUUUGGCACCAGAAGGGUUUGGACGAAAAUAUAAUGCUUUGUAAACUAAAUAAAAAAGGAUGG